GUGCACCAGGCGAGAAAACUUCACACUGUGCGAAAGCACGAUGAGGGAAUCCCAAGUGCUUGCACGUAAGUGUAAGCUGUUUCUCUGUCUAAAACGCAGAGAGAGUAAGGGCUGGGUAAGACGGGUGCCAGCCGCCGCGGUAAUACCUGCAGCUCAAGUGGUGACCGUUAUUAUUGGGCCUAAAGCGUCCGUAGCCGGUUUAAUAAAUGCCUGGGUAAAUUGUGUAGCUUAACUAUACGAAUUCCGGGUAGACUGUUAAACUUGAGACCGGGAGAAGUUAGAGGUACUCCUGGGGUAGAGGUGAAAUUCUGUAAUCCUAGGGGGACCACCAGUGGCGAAGGCGUCUAACUAGAACGGGUCUGACGGUGAGGGACGAAGCCCUGGGGCGC
rnacentral:rRNA from 1 species